UGGGGAAUUUUGGACAAUGGGCGCAAUCCUGAUCCAGCCAUGCCGCGUGCAGGAUGAAGGCCUUCGGGUUGUAAACUGCUUUUGUACGGAACGAAAAUACUCUGGUUAAUACCUGGGUUCCAUGACGGUACCGUAAGAAUAAUCACCGGCUAACUACGUGCCAGCAGCCGCGUUAAUACGUAGGGUGCGAGCGUUAAUCGGAAUUACUGGGCGUAAAGCGUGCGCAGGCGGUUAUGUAAGACAGAUGUGAAAUCCCCGGGCUCAACCUGGGAACUGCAUUUGUGACUGUAUAGCUAGAGUACGGCAGAGGGGGAUGGAAUUCCGCGUGUAGCAGUGAAAUGCGUAGAUAUGCGGAGGAACACCGAUGGCGAAGGCAAUCCCCUGGGCCUGUACUGACGCCCAUGCACGAAAGCGUGGGGAGCAAACA
rnacentral:rRNA from 1 species